ACAGGUCGUAUAAUAUCUUGUGUUUCCCAGAAAUGCCACAGCAGCCACCCAUCUCUCUUCAACUACUUUCUCAGCUAAAGGUGAAAUAUUUCUGCUCCAACUCAAGGCAUCCAGGAGUCAGACAUUUAUGUUUGGGCUGGUCAGAGCUGCAGCCAUUCUCCCUUUGCAGCUGACAAGGAGAAAUGGGAACCUCCAGAAGGUUGUUCAGCUUAUCCUCAGGCAGAUAUCUAUGGUGGAUCAGAAGAUUUGCUCUCAGAAAGUGCCUUCUUGUCUCCACUGCAAGAGUUCCUGUGACCACCAUCUCCUCCCAGUCCUCAGGUACCUGGAGGGCAUCCCAGAAAAACAGGAGGGUGAGCCAGCCUGCUCAGACAUUGAUGCUUUCUGAAUCUCACAGGAUUUGUGGAUUGAUGACAGCAUCCCACUGACAGGCUGAGGUACAGGAAGACUUGCUAAAAGCCAAGUGGAGGUAAAUAUUUCCUUGCAGAAAUCUGCCUAUUGGCACAAUGAAUGCAGCAUUUGCAGGAAGCAUCCUGUGUGUGUGUGUUCUGUGCAGUUGAUCUGCACACACAGGGUGAUCUCAGACACCGGGGUUGUUGUAGAAGCCCAGAGCAGGCUCAGAUCUUCAGGGCCACUUUUCUGUUGUGCACCUGAUCCUUGUAUGUGUGACAAAACCUGGAAUCCCAAAAGUCCAGCAAGUGCUGCUCUCAAACUGGCUGCUGGAUAGCCAGGAAUCCUGGACAAGCAGUUGUUUAUCUCUAUUUCCCUUUGAAAAGUCCACCUUUACAGCAAAUAUAUAAA
rnacentral:lncRNA from 1 species